UUUUUUUCAAUUUAUAAUUGAAAAAACCAUGAAAAUUCGCUAUUGAACGAUACUCAAAUUUUGUCUAUAUUCUUCAAAAAAUUUUAACUAUUUAGAAAAGAUCUCUCAAGAAUAUGCCAUUAUUUAGAAAAAAGUAUGCUCUUUCGUUUGGAAUAGUCAGAUUUUCGAAAAUCAGCUUAGAAAUAUCACUUUUUUCCAAAUUAAAAUUGAAAAAACCAUGAAAAUUCGCUAUUGAACGAUACUCAAAUUUUGUCUAUAUUCUUCAAAAAAUUUUAACUAUUUAGAAAAGAUCUCUCAAGAAUAUGCCAUUAUUUAGAAAAAAGUAUGCUCUUUCGUUUGGAAUAGUCAGAUUUUCGAAAAUCAGCUUAGAAAUAUCACUUUUUUUCAAUUUAUAAUUGAAAUAACCAUGAAAAUUCGCUAUCGAACGAUACUCAAAUUUUGUCUAUAUUCUUCAUAAAAUUUUAAGUAUUUAGAAAAGAUCUCUAAAGAAUAUGCCAUUAUAUAGAAAAAAGUAUGCUCUUUCGUUUGGAAUGGAGAGAUAUUCGAAAAUCGGCUUAGAAAUAUCACUUUUUUUCAAUUUAUAAUUGAAAUAACCAUGAAAAUUCGCUAUCGAACGAUACUCAAAUUUUGUCUAUAUUCUUCAUAAAAUUUUAACUAUUUAGAAAAGAUCUCUAAAGAAUAUGCCAUUAUAUAGAAAAAAGUAUGCUCUUUCAUUUGGAAUCAAGAGAUAUUCGAAAAUCGGCUUAGAAGUAUCACUUUUUUUCAAUUUAGUAUUGAAAAAACCGUGAAAAUUCGCUAACGAACGAUACUAAAAUUUUGUCUAUAUUCCUCAUAAAAUUUUAACUAUUUAGAAAAAAUCUCUAAAGAAUAUGCCAUUAUAUAGAAAAAAGUAUGCUCUUUCGUUUGGAAUUGACCGAUGUUCGAAAUUCGGCUUAGAAGUAUCACUUUUUUUCAAUUUAAAAUUGAAAAAACCAUGAAAAUUUGUCUAUCGAACGAUACUCAAAUUUUGUCUGUAUUCUUCAUAAAAUUUUAACUAUUUAGAAAAGAUCUCUAAAGAAUAUGCCAUUAUAUAGAAAAAAGUAUGCUCUUUCGUUUGGAAUAGUCAGAUUUUCGAAAAUCAGCUUAGAAAUAUCACUUUUUUCCAAAUUAAAAUUGAAAAAACCAUGAAAAUUCGCUAUUGAACGAUACUCAAAUUUUGUCUAUAUUCUUCAUACAAUUUUAACUAUUUAGAAAAGAUAUCUCAAGAAUAUGCCAUUAUUUAGAAAAAGGUAUGCUCUUUCGUUUGGAAUUGAGAGAUGUUCGAAAAUCGGCUUAGAAAUAUCACUUUUUUUCAAUUUAUAAUUGAAAUAACCAUGAAAAUUCGCUAUCGAACGAUACUCAAAUUUUGUCUAUAUUCUUCAUAAAAUUUUAAGUAUUUAGAAAAGAUCUCUAAAGAAUAUACCAUUAUAUAG